GGGCUUCGGCCCCCGGUAUCGUGGCGAACGGGUGCGUAACACGUGGGUAAUCAACCUCAUGGCGGGGGACAACCUUCCGAAAGGAUGGCUAAUACCGCAUAAGUCGGCUGAAUCUAUGAUUUGGUCGGGAAAGGCGGGUCGCAAGAUCUGUCACCAUGAGACGAGCCCGCGUCCCAUCAUGCUAGUUGGUGAGGUAAUGGCUCACCAAGGCUUAGACGGGUAGCUGGUCUGAGAGGAUGAUCAGCCACACUGGAACUGCGACACGGUCCAGACUCCUACGGGAGGCAGCAGUGGGGAAUAUUGGGCAAUGGGCGCAAGCCUGACCCAGCCACGCCGCGUGAGUGAUGAAGGCCUUCGGGUCGUAAAGCUCUGUGGGGAGGGAAGAAAAGCUACGUGCUAAUACCACGGAGUCUUGACGGUACCUCCUUAGCAAGCACCGGCUAACCACGUGCCAGCAGCCGCGGUAAUACGUGGGGUGCAAACGUUGCUCGGAAUUAUUGGGCGUAAAGCGCACGUAGGCGGCUCUCUAAGUCGCAUGUGAAAGCCCCAGGCUUAACCUGGGAAGUGCAUGCGAUACUGGGAAAGCUUGAGUACUAAAGGGGGUCGCGGAAUUCCCGGUGUAGAAGUGAAAUUCGUAAAUUUCGGGAGGAACACCAGC
rnacentral:rRNA from 1 species